rnacentral:rRNA from 1 species
UACGUAGGGUCCGAGCGUUGUCCGGAAUUACUGGGCGUAAAGAGCUCGUAGGUGGUUUGUCGCGUUGUUCGUGAAAACUCACAGCUUAACUGUGGGCGUGCGGGCGAUACGGGCAGACUUGAGUACUGCAGGGGAGACUGGAAUUCCUGGUGUAGCGGUGGAAUGCGCAGAGUAUCAGGAGGAACACCGGUGGCGAAGGCGGGUCUCGUGGGCAGUGAACUGACGCUGGAGGAGCGAAAGCGUGGGGAGCGAACAGG